GAAUGGGCAGUUUAAAAGUACUGGUAAUGGAUUUGUAUUACAGAGAAGGAUAAAGAGAAAAACAAAAUGAUUCCUAACUCUAUCUCACAGAGAAGUUCUCUUGGUGUUUUAAGUACUACUAACAAUAAAAAUAAUACAUGAGCAAGGACAGCAACCCCGUGUGGUCAUAAGGGGAUACUAUGAAAGUAAGAUUCCUCUCCUUCAAAAUGCUGUCUCACAUGUCAUAGGUUUUCAGUUAUUCUCCUGAAUUAAGUUAAUUGCAUAUGGAAACUAUAAAAAAAAAUUAUCAAAGUUAUCAAGUUAGAAUAGUAUCUUGCCCUUGCUUAAUAAAUAACAAUGUCUUCCAUAUCACCUUCUAUAGACCUCCUCCUUUCUCUUUAAUGACUACAUGGUAUUCCAUUGUGCUGACAAAGGUUCAGGAAACUAUGGCCUGCAAGCCAAAUCUGACCCCUGCUUGGUUUUGUAUUGUUCAUGAACUAAAAAUGUUUUUGUUUAUUGGGGUAUUUUUUUUUGCAUUUUCAAAUAAUUAAAGUAAAAAGAGUACCAUUUCUAUGACAUAGGAAAAUUACACGAAAUUCAAAUUCCAGCAUCUGUAAAUAAGUUUCACUGGAACAUAGCCAGGCUCAUUCAUCUUAUGUACUGUCUGUGGCUGCUUUUGCACUAUAGCAGAGUUAAACAGUUGUGACAGACACUGUAGAGCCUGCAAAGCCUAAAAUAUUUACUCUCUGGUCCUUUACAGGAAAAGUUUGCUGAUCUCUGGUAUAGACUAUUUACUUCAUUUAACUCAACAUUUUGGACUCAGAGAAUUUCUAAUUCUAUGAGUGAAGAGAGUAAAAGUGGCAGCAUGAGCAGAGAUAAAAAAGACACAAAUAUGGCAAAUCAUCAACUAGAUGCUCAAUGAGUGAUCUGGUUAGGAGAGAAAUGAGAAACAGAGCAAGAAGGAGAUAGGUUGUGGCCGUGUCAUGCCAUCAUUAGAAUGCCAGGUAGAGGAAAUCUGCCAUUCAUCUGGCAGUAAGUCAAGAACUACUGACGACUUUGAGCAGGAGUGGGGAAUAGCAUAAACAGGAUCUAUUUUAGGAGAUUAAUCUGGCCAUUCAAUAUGGAAUUAAUGUAGAAGGUAUUGCCAACAGGUAAGGAAAUCAUUUUAGGAUUAUUUCAGAAAUCCAUAAAAAGGGUCACGAAUUCAUGUGAAGAUGUAAAAGUACCCUUGAAAAUAAUUUCCACAGUUCUGAAAAUCAAGGAAAGGUGUCUGUGUUUCUGUAUGUGAAGCUGUUUAAAAAACACUGAGAAUUAUUUCUUUCUAUUAGAAAAAAUAUUAAAGUAUAUCUCACCACUGAAGUUUUGGUCCACUCUCUUUCAGUAUACCCAGCUAUAAUUUUUUAAUGUGUUUUCCAUGCAGCAAACAACCCAAGAAACUAAUUGAGUCAUACACUAGUUGCUGAAUUAAGCUGGAGUAUGGUAUCUGAUUAUUUCUUAAUGUAUUACUUAUAAUCUUAAGGCUCAAAAAUAUGGCAAUGUAAGACAUACAAGAUUGUCUGUUAUUUCAAAGGCAAAUGUGAAGUACUCAUUAUAAUCUGGUUAAAAAUCCUAAAUAGCAAGAAUGCUGGUCUUCUAGACGGAGUAAUUCUAAUUAACCUUAUAAAAAUAAGAUUUGUACAGUAUGUGGAAAAUUAAGGAUAUAAACAACCAUUAAAAGAAAAGCCUAAUUACAUUAUAAUAAUUAUGUUCAACGGACACAAUAGGCAAUAGUCACAUAGCAGUACCAUAUUUUAAAUGCCAUCAUAAAUAAUAUAAAAUGUUAAUGUUAUAUUGUGCUAUUAUUCAAAAUAAUAUUUUAAAUUACCUUUAAACAUCGAAAUAAGUUGCUCUAUUAACAAAGGGAUCUGAAUGUGUACUCUGUAGCUACAGAGUAGGCUGGACAUCAAGCUAAAUUAUACUAGGAAAUGAACAAAUAAAAUAAAAAGUUAGUAUUUAUAGCAGGAUUUUAUAUGUAUCACUGUGUUUAGGGUUGGAGCAAUAAUAAGAAGAGGAAAAAUAAUAUUUGGUUCAGUUUUGCUUAGAAGGGUUUUAUUUUUCUAAAUAAAAUAAUUUGCCAUUCAUAAUUGGCUGUUCUAGUGAUAAAAGUAAGCAUAGUGGUUUAGAAUAUAAACUCCAGAGACAAGAAAAAUUGAAUUCCAAAUUGUGUGAUUUGGACAAGUUCCUUAACUACAUCAAUCCUCAGAUCCCUCAUCUACUAUGAUGAUAAUAUCUACCCUGAAUUUAAAGGGUUGUUGGUAGGUUUAUAUGUGUUAUGUGUACUUGCCAUUGUAAGAACACUAAGUAUUAAAUAAGUGACAAUUGUUAUUUUUAAUGUAAUUAUUACUUCCCAUCUUAAGUUUUAUCCUUUGAUGAUUGCAUCUUAGGGUAUAAGAAGAUGGAAGAGAAAACUGAAAAUCAAGAGUAACAAGAUAAUAAUUACUUCCCUCCCUCUCCCCACCAACCUACUCAAGCACUGGCUUAGGAGAAAUGUUAACAUUAAGUCCUUUAUUACUGUGGUUCAUGGCCUUUGAUGGGUAUUUAAAAAGCAUGUUAUAGAAGCUGUUCUCAGUGGGUCCUCAGUGGGUCCCUAUCUAAGGGGCGACUCUAAACUCACCAGAAUCACUAAAUUUGUAAUGUCUCAUCUUCAUCCUUACUAGAAGCCCUUGCAAAUGUGACACUAUCAGAAACAUCUGAUUUACAUAUUUCUCUGAGGCAACCUUCCCAAUGUGCUGCUAUAUUUAGUGGUCUAUUUACAAGCUUAAGGAGCCAUGUUUCCUAAAACAUAGUAUCUCCAUAAAUAGAUGGAGAAGUACUUGUGUACAAAUUUUGACAACUAGCCCUACCUUGCAUAUUCUGCUUUACAGUAUUUAUUUACUUAUUUACAGAAUUAAUUGCUUUAUAUAAAUGGUGUUUCCUAAAAAAAAAAAAAAAAAAAAAACACCUUCUUUAUUUAGCACAUACUAUUAUACUAGUCCCUACCUCAAAGAUGGUAUUUUUCUUUUAUGUUAUUAUAUUGUAGUAAUUAUCCUCAUAUAUAUAUUUUUUAAUUUCAGAUGAACUGUGUGGUCAGUAGAAAAAUUUCUUGGUUGUAUAAAAGAUAUACAGGGAAAUGGAUACAUGACCAGUUAAAAUGAAGACCUCAGUGAAAAUAGUUGUUUAGUCAGAACCACUCCAACUCUUGAGUGCUGAUUUGCUUUGCCCUAAAUAGUGUAUGCUUUGCUGAUUGGUACGAAAGAGUAACUCACUUGACUAAGAACAAAUCUAGCCAGCUAUCUAUCCUCCAUAUCUUGACGUGGUCUUGUUUCUCUGUUCUGGCAUCCAGUAUGGCAGAAACUGUUAUGAAUUGAUAAAUAUAAGGAGAAGCAGCAUCAGCUGACCACAUUGCUACAGAGAGAUUUUCUUAAGAACUGAAAAGUCAUAGAGGAGAAGGAUGAGAAUAAGGAAAAGGUCUUGAAAGCAGAUGAAACUGAUCUAUAAUGCAAGAAAAUUCCUUCAAGAAGAUUCAUAUCCAAGAACGAGAAGUAGGGUAACCUCUACACCCAGCCUGGGGCUUGAACUCACAACCCUAAGAUCAAGAGUCACAUGCUCUUUUGAGUGAGCCUGACAAGAAAACUGAUGAGCACAUUUCAAAAUGGGAGUUAAAGCUUUGUAUUUCAGUGUCUUUUAACGAGGACAGCAAUAUAGCCAAGUGCAGCUGCUUUCUGCCAAAAUGCAAUCUGACAUUUGGAAGAGUUUUGUAUGGAGAAGCCAGGAGUCUAAGAAAUCAGUUGAGCUUCAUCGUGAAAAUGACACUGGAUUUAAAUCAGAAACCCUGGUUGGAAGCUUUGUUGGUCACUGGUUGCUUGUCUGGGUUUAUCUUGGGCACGACUCCCUUCCUAAGGCCCCUUCCAGCUUGCUACAUUAUUACUACAUUCCAUGCCAACCACAGUUGCCUAAUAUUAACUGAUUGUGCCACUUUUGAAUUACUGCCUGGGAAGCAGGACCUACUGAUUUUAUUUCUUUUAUUACCCAUGACCCCACAGAAAGGCAGAUUGGCUAGGAAAAAUAAAUAAAUAAUGUGGGCUAGUAAA